rnacentral:rRNA from 1 species
AUUGAACGCUCGCGGCAGGCCUUACACAUGCAAGUCGAGCGAGCGGCGGACGGGUGAGUAAUGUCUGGGAAUCUGCCCGAUGGAGGGGGAUAACUACUGGAAACGGUAGCUAAUACCGCAUACUAUCAGAUGAGCCCAGACGGGAUUAGCUAGUAGGUGAGGUAAUGGCUCACCUAGGCGACGAUCCCUAGCUGGUCUGAGAGGAUGACCAGCCACGCUGGGACUGAGACACGGCCCAGAAUCCUACGGGAGGCAGCAGUGGGGAAUAUUGCACAAUGGGCGCAAGCCUGAUGCAGCCAUGCCGCGUGUAUGAAGAAGGCCUUCGGGUUGUAAAGCACUUUCAGAGGGGAGGCGUUACCCGCAGAAGAAGCACCGGCUAACUCCGUGCCAGCAGCCGCGGUAAUUC